UACGAACCACACAAACGUUAUUCGGAAUUACUGGGCUUAAAGGGUGCGUAGGCGGCGCGGAAAGUUGGGUGUGAAAUCCCUCGGCUCAACCGAGGAACUGCGCCCAAAACUACCGUGCUCGAGGGAGAUAGAGGUGAGCGGAACUUAGGGUGGAGCGGUGAAAUGCGUUGAUAUCCUAAGGAACACCCGUGGCGAAAGCGGCUCACUGGGUCGAUACUGACGCUGAGGCACGAAAGCUAGGGUAGCGAACGGG
rnacentral:rRNA from 1 species